rnacentral:rRNA from 1 species
CAGCACCUCAAGUGGUCAGGAUGAUUAUUGGGCCUAAAGCAUCCGUAGCCGGCGCUGUAAGUUUUCGGUUAAAUCUGUACGCUCAACGUAUGGGCUGCCGGGAAUACUGCAAAGCUAGGGAGUGGGAGAGGUAGACGGUACUCGGUAGGAAGGGGUAAAAUCCUUUGAUCUAUUGAUGACCACCUGUGGCGAAGGCGGUCUACCAGAACACGUCCGACGGUGAGGGAUGAAAGCUGGGGGAGCAAACCGGAUUAGAUACCCGUGUAGUCC